rnacentral:rRNA from 1 species
CUCCUACGGGAGGCAGCAGUGGGGAAUAUKGGACAAUGGGGGGAAMCCUGAUCCAGCCAUGCCGCGUGUGUGAAGAAGGCCUUAUGGUUGUAAAGCACUUUAAGCGAGGAGGAGGCUCUCUUGGUUAAUACCCAAGAUGAGUGGACGUUACUCGCAGAAUAAGCACCGGCUMACUCUGUGCCAGCAGCCGCGGUAAUAC